rnacentral:lncRNA from 1 species
CUGUGGAAGAAACCCUUUGGCGAUGGUAUUGGCACCGACCAGAGAACUUGCUCGACAAGUUGAGAAGGAAUUUAAAGAGUCUUCUAAGUUGUACACUCUUUGUGUUUAUGGUGGCUCUCUGAUUAGUCAGCAGAUGAGAGCACUUGAUUCUGGUGUUGAUGUUGUGGUUGGGACUCCUGGACGAAUUAUUGACUUGCUUAAUAGAGGCGCCUUGAAUUUGUCAGAGAUUCAAUUUGUUGUCCUUGAUGAAGCUGAUCAGAUGCUUAAUGUUGGUUUUGCUGAAGAUGUAGAGAGAAUUUUGGAAAAGAUGCCCCCAAAACAUCAAACUUUGAUGUUCUCUGCUACAAUGCCAACUUGGAUCCAAAAGCUUACACGGAAAUACCUAAAAGAUCCAGUUAAUAUUGACCUUGUGAGUAUGACUGUUCAGUUUACAUCCUUAUAACAUCUGAUUUUGCUAGUCAGUCGUUAGUGUUUCUUUAUUGGGACUAGGAAUUUUUAGCUUUUCUAGGACUAAGUAAGUGCCUCUAGAUUGUUGUGCUUCUCUUACUUUUAUUAUUUAUGAUAUUACAUCUAUACGUUUCUUUUCCUGUAGUACUGAAAAUCUUGAAAUUUCUUUGUAAUGUCUAUGUAAUCAUGCUGUUGUAUAUGUAUUAUGUAUAUCAUUCUUUCCAUUGAAAAGAUUUUGUCAUGCUAUCUCAGUUGUUUUUUUUUCUGUGUUAUCUUCUUUUAUUCAUUUUCUUUUUUGAAUCAACUGUCUUGAUGGCCCAGCCCUUGUAUUUUUCAAUUAUCUCAAAAAGACUUUAGAACUUAAAUCCCCAUUUCCACUUCUGUUGUCUACUAGUUGUCAUUUGCUUGGUUGAAAUUUCUUUGUGAUGUUUAUGUAAUCAUGCUGUUGUAUCUGUAGUAUGUAUUUCAUUCUUUCCAUUUAAAAGAUUAUGUCAUGCUAUCUCAGUUGUUUUUUCCUGGUGUUAGCUUUUUUUAUUUAAUAAACUGUCUUUGUGACCCAGCCCUUGUUUUUUUCAAUUAUCUCAAAAUGACUUUAGAUCUUAAAUCUCUGUUUCUAUUUCUGUUGUCUACUAAUUGUCAUUUGCUUAGUUGAACUGUAUACUCCAAUCGUAAAUAGCAUAUGGUCUUGUCCUUAGACUGCAAUUGUUAAGGUUAUCAUAACUGCACUUGUUCAAUAUCAUUGUUUAGGUUUUCCUGCUAUUUUUGAAUUUAAAAUAAACACUUUGUCUUACCCUUUCCAACUAGGAUGUUUUACAAACACAAUGCUGUUUGGCAUUAAUUUUCUGUUAUUAGGUUUUUAUGGAUUUACCAAUAAGUUUGAGAUUAUAUUCUAUGGGAAAUAUUUGAUGUAUCAUAUUUACGUAAUUGCUUUUUGGUAAGGGUAACUGUUUUCUUUUAAAAAUACCUUAAUUAAAAACACUGACCUUUACAUGAGGUUAGAUAAAAAUGUUAAAAUUACCUUGAUUUCCAGUUUUUUUCUAUCAUAAGCCUGACAAGGUAGUCAUUACCUUGCAUUCUGAUGACCAGAAGAUAGCUAAAGCCAGUAUGUUUGAUGUUCUUGAUGCAUUUGGUAAUUAGUUGAUAAUAUAUUUUGUGUUUGAUUCAGAAUAUUCAUGUAGGAUGCUUUUUUGUAGGUUGGUGAUUCUGACCAGAAGUUAGCAGAAGGGAUAACUCUGUACUCUAUUGUUUCAGAUAAUUAUGCAAAGGCAUCAAUUCUUGGGCCACUAAUAAAGGUAAUUUGUUAGCAGCUGAUCCCAGUGAGCGACCUUAUAGUCAAGUCAGCCUUUUUAGUUUAGUUAAACAUAGUUUAUAAAAAAAAUUUUGUUGGUUUUUUUCUAGGAACAUGCUAAAGGAGGUAAAUGCAUAUUAUUUACUCAAACAAAACGUGAUGCGGAUAGGUUGGCUUAUUCCAUGGGUCGGAGCUUUGGAUGUGAGGCUCUUCAUGGUGACAUCUCACAGGGCCAGAGGGAAAGAACACUAGCUGGAUUUCGUGAUGGCCGCUUUAAUAUUUUGAUAGCUACUGAUGUUGCUGCUCGUGGAUUGGAUAUACCGAAUGUUGAUCUGGUGAGCGUCUUUUCUUAGUCAAUAUGUUAUUUUUUUUGACACACGUCAAACUUUUCAAAUUUUUCAAUAUGAAACAUUUUUCUCAAUUGUAGUUUGUAGAUAAGAAAUUAUGAUGCUCCUGAUCAUCUGGAUUUGUAAGUAGGUGUACUUUUUUAGUAGAUUGCAAGAGGAGCCUCUCCAGCAAAGCUAUACUCUAAUUAAUCAUUUCAUUGGACAUAUAUGUAGCCUGUUGAGUCUGUCUAUAUUUUGUACCAAUUCUUCUGGUGUAUCCUUUUACUUUUUUUUCUUCUUUCAGUUGUGUCAUGCAUGCAUGCAUUUCUACUGUUCUAAUAUUUAUUCCAAUUGACUUCUGGUAUCACCAUCUCAUAGUAUAUGAUGAACUAGCAUUUUUGAAAUAGGAUGAGAAUAAAAUUUUUUGUUUGGUUUGUGUGGUGGUGGUGGUGGUGGUGAUGCCCUCCAGUGGUUAAAGACUACUCUAAACUAUUCAAACCUUACUCUGCUCAACAGAUGUUCUUUUUUUCUUUCCCAAUGUCAACAUUCAACAAAUGAUGCAAAGAUCAUGAUUUUGUUUUCUACUAUGGAUAAUUUAUGUUUACAUGUACAGAACAUACUUUAUUGACUUAAGUUAAUUUAGGUGUGAGAAUGGUCGGUAUAUGCUCAUGGUAUGAUCUUUUUUUUAUCAGAUGCCUAAUUUUAACUUUUUUAGAUUCACUUCACCAUUUUUUGUUCUGCUUUGUCAAUAUUAAGUCAUGUUUGAAGGUACCAUGCUCUUUACUAAAAUGAUCAUCUUCUUUGGCCAGGUGAUACAUUAUGAACUGCCAAACACAACCGAAUUAUUUGUUCAUAGAUCUGGUCGAACUGGGCGAGCUGGCAAAAAAGGUAGUGCGAUUCUUAUACACUCGUAUGACCAAAAUCGUCUUGUUAGAGGCAUUGAACAAGAGAUAGGAUGCAGGUUUAUCGAGGUAAUUUUGUUUUUCUUGUUUGGGCAAACCAGUUGACAAAUUGGACUUUCGACAUCCCUCACUUUCACCAGAAGAUCGCAUUGGAUGCUUUGCAUUUUUUUGGGUGAAGGCUGGGAAAUAUUGUUAAGCUAGUUAGCUUUGUGAAUUUGUCUAAAGUUUUUGCAUUCUAGUGGGUAUACUAUUUUUGUUGGAAGCUGCAGGAACUUGACUAUUUGGUUGACAUUAUUCUUGAAAUGUAUGUAAUUACUUUGAAGAAAGUUCUGACAAACAUAUCUAAUAUCCCUUGAAUUAGCUCAUAUAUUCUAUCUGUCCAUAAGAUCAUUAGAAUUGACCAUUAUAACACAGACCCUUUUCCCUCUAUUUGAAUUAUUAUGGUCAAACCUUGGCAUGCAAUUGACCCUGUUUAAUGGUGCUUUGAUCUUUUCAUUGGUAUUUGAACUUGAGCUGACCUAAGUUGAAUAAGUGAAACAUCAACUAAUGGUUGCCACUGCUGUGAGUACAAUAUGGGUUAUCUUGGAUUAAAAUCAAUAUUGAAAUUACCACUAAUCUUUAUUUUCUCAGAUUCAUCUAAGAUUUUACACAGACAUUUAGAAAGAAAUUUGAAAACAUGUAAUAAAGUACUUAAAAAUAAAAAUAUCAAUAAUAAAAUUGUUAGUGAAAUAUUUUUUGUGUAGAAUUACUUAAUAUUUUACCAUCUCUAGUAAGUUUUACAGAGAGCCCACAUAUGAUUUUGAACCCAAGACUUUGUCUAGACUGUGAACUCCCUUUCUAAUCGUCCUGUCUUCAGGUAGUGUCAAUUGGACUUCCAAAGGCAAAGUCCAAGUCUAAAAACAGGUGGGAGCAAAAACUGUAGGCGAUUAAAUUGCAUAGAGCAGUUUAUGAGGGCCUAUGCGGUGUACUUGAUUUUACCAACAGAUGAUUGGAGACGAGGCCCUUUUGUCAAUAACUUCUUUUUGCAUGCCUUGAUCAACUACUGUAGAAUUAACAUUUGCUGCGACCACUGAUAGGUAACUUGUGUUCCAGAAGAAUUUGCUGACUGGAAACCCUUUUGUUUUCACCUCAACUUGCUGCUUCUUUGAGGAUUUGCCUCUUACCUUCGGGGACAAAGCACCUACAAAAUGGAUUAGUCUCAUCUCCCCUGAUGCUUGUUGGAUCCACAAAGCCUACACUUCUCUUGUUCUCCUUAUCCUUGUUGUCAGUGAGUUGAUAGGUCAGUCAGGGUUAGUCGGAUCACCUUAUCCUUUAAAGGCAUAAGCAUCUGACUGUAUUUUUGAAAUAUGAAGAUUCUAACUCAUGCAUAUGACUAUCUUUAAUGCAUAUGAUGAACUAUGCAUAUUUUCUCUAUUCGAAGCUGGAAAAUGCUAACCCAACAUGUUUUAGUUGAUUUUAUAAUUCAAAUGUUGUGAAUAAAAUUAUCCUAUCGAAGUUCAUAUGGUCCAUGGUCCGUAUUUGGGUCACAUCUUUCUGUUCCAUUUCCACUUUUUUGCUUGCCUUUCCUUUAUUUCUUCACACCUACUAAUUGAUAUGGCCUUCGUUCUAAUUUUCAGCUACCUAAGAUUACAGUUGAGGGUGGCGGAGAAGACAUGAUUGGUAGCAUGCGUGGUGGUCGUUUUGAUUCGCACGGAAGUGGCCGAAUGGGUGGUUCAGGUUUUGGACGUGGUGGAAACUAUGGCCGUUCUCGUGGUUUUGGAGAUUCUGGCCGCCACACAGGCGGCUUCGGAGAAUCUGGGUCAGGCCGUUUUGGUUCCUUUGGUGGUUCAACUUCAGGCGCACCAAGCAGACCUGGUGGCUCCAAUUUUGGUCGCUCUGAUGGUUUUGGGAACUUCAGUUCAGGGCGUUCCGGUGGUCUUGGUGAUUCGGGUGCAGGACGUUUUGGCAACUUUGGUAGUUCAGGAUCCGGGCGCUUUGGUAGUUUUGGCAACUCAGAUUCCGGUCGUUCUAGCAGCUUCAACGAUUCCAGCCCAAGCCGCUCUAGUGGUUAUGGUGGGUCUGGCCGUAGCAGCAGCUUCGGCAGUUUUGGUGGAGGCUCAAGCAAGGAUGAUGGCGAUGAUGGUUGGCCAGGAAGAUCCUUCAUGAGUUCAUCAUAGGUUGGUCGUCCACUAUUACUGUAUGCAAGAAUGCAUUUCCUACACUAAAGGAGCUGUUGCACUCUGGCAUCUGCAGUCCAAACUAACCUUGGUCUUACCAAAGCCCAGGGGGGGGAGGGGGUUCCUUAAGAGACCUUGUCAUUACUGCUUAGUUCAUUGUUGUUUGUUUUCAAUCUUUAACACUUGAAGCUGAAGGAUGGAGGUUCCGGAGAGAUGCAGCAAAUAGGUUUUGCAGCAAUACUCUUCCACGAGUCUCAAAACAGACAUCUUUUUUGGAGGCCAAAUUCGGCAGUUUGAGCUUGUCGUCAUCCCAGAAACAGAUACAGAAUCUCUAAUCAUCACAGAACUCUAGCUUGAUCAAUUCGGAAGACUGCAUUUAUAAAAUUCCAACAUGCAUGUAACGUAUAAAACCAAAAAGUGGAGGAAAAUAAAUGCCCUUUUGAGUAUGUUGACAUGAUUGGAUGCUCCUCGUGUGAUGUGAUACUGCUUGCUGCAGCCUUAUGGUUUUUCUCUUUCCCACGUCGAGGUAGUCAAGGCAGCACUGAGUGCUGAGCUGAUAGAAAAAACCCACAGUGCUAUCCGAAGCCAGGAAGACCAGUGUUUUGCAUUUAUUUCGCAUGAUGUGUUUGCUCCUCUUCGACAGCUGACACUCGGCCAAAGGCCAAAGAAGCUGAUAUGUCUCAUCAUCGAUCGAACACAUUGAUUCAACAUGAGAAGCGCAUAUGUUUAUUUUCCAAGACCACCGCACUUUAAAUUUUUUUUUCAUGAGAAGCUUUAAUCCUUGAACCGAGUGUUUGUUUUGCAGUCAGGUUAAAGCAGCUCAGCAACGAAAAAAAACAAAUCAAAUGAAAGCAGUGGUCAGCAACGAAAAAAAAUAAAUGAAAUGAAAGCAGUGGUCGUACUAGGAUAAAUGGACCUAGAUGUUUUACUUUUAUAAUUAUAGAAAUAUUAAUAUAAUUUUUUAAAAUAUAAAGAUCAAGAUGUUAAAGAUAACUAAUUACUAACUUUUUUUUCUCUUUUUUUGAGUCUUCUCGUUACGUAAAAUAUUAUUUUUCCUCAUAUGCAUACAUGGGUGUAUUUUAUAUAUAAGAGGGAUACAAAUCCAUACAUAACAAUGCAUGUUGCAACGUGAUAUAUCUAUGAUAAAGAUAUAGAUAGCUGUAUUCUUGUGUUCUUUAUACGAUAGAACGAUUAAUGCAUCUAAUGUCAUUGGUCGUAUCUAAUCUCAAUGAAAACUUAUAUAUAUAUAUAUAUAUAUAUAUAUAUAAUUUUAAAAUUGAUUAAAAUUUGUAUCAUUAUCUGAUAUAAUCGGAUUCAAUAAGUCAAUGAGUAUCAAAAAAUUAGGGUGAAUAGGUAGGUCAAGAAGUAGCAAUAUUGGUGGGACAUAAAAGAUUCCAUGUUUCCAACCCGGACUCCAUAGUCGCCAAUUCAAUCCGGCAGUGAUUAGGUCGAUCACGGGCCGUCUGAUCUCGGAAACCAAUCGAUUAGAUGCGACCAACGUCUUCGCUUCACCGACCCGUAUCCCUAUUGAUCAACCUUCCGCCUCCUCUCCCGCAUAAAUAUCUUUCUCGCUGCCCCCUAACUUGCCCCCAAAACCCUAGUCCCUCGUCUGGGGUUUCGCCCUCCCGAUCCCUCUUCUGCGGUUUCGAUCAUUGGACGAUGAACUUCUUGUUCCGGAGGUCCUCUUCGGUUGCCGCCUCGGCGUCGAGGCGAGCCCUAGCAGCCCUGGUUUCCUCGGAGUCUUCUCUUCUCCCGCCGUCGUUCGCCUCGGCGUCGCUCUUUCCGUCCUCAGCCGACGGUCUCGUUCCGUUCUAUAAGUCCGCGCGACAAUUCGAGUUUUGCUGUGCCCGGCGCAGGGAAAUCCACUUUUCGGCGGGGCCUUUGGGGUUCAGGGCCACUGAUGUCGCCUGUGCGGAGUACGCCGUCGAUGACUACUGCGAAGAUGACAGAAGGAGUCCUGAGCGAGGAGGGGACGAGCGGUUAGAGAUCGCCAAGCUGGGGAUAUCGCAGGAUAUCGUGACUCAACUCGCAAACAAGGGGAUCACAAAGCUUUUUCCCAUACAGGUAUUGAAAUGUCUUCAGCUAAGCUGUCAAUCGUCCUUUAUUCUUCAGCUAAUGUUUUGGACUUGUGGAACGGUUUAUUGUUCGGGGCAAACAGCUAAAAGAAAAAGAAAAUUCUACCCUUUUCUUUUCUGUUCUUGAGUUUCUUAACUAAGAGAAAAUUUAUAUUGAUGUAGUGCGUUGUAUUUUUGUCAACCCCCUUAUGUAACAUACACAUAACCUGUAAAUCUAGAUAAUUCAUUUCUUGGAUAUUUAGUAGGUUCAGAUGGUGCUAUGGUGGUCUUUUUAGCAGAUAUUAAUUUUUUAUAGCUUUCAUGGUAUGAGUAAUUAUGAAGCAUUCUAUCAUUUCGGUGAUGCGUUGACCUUUGUGCAUGCCUGUUUUUUUGGUAAGCUGUUAUCUGACAUUAUUGUGAAGGUGCUAUCUUUCUUAUCCAUUGAUUUAUUGAUUUGUUAUUCGCUGGUAUCUAAAAGUAAGUAUUAAUUGUCAAGAAUAUCUAUUUUAGCAUCAAGUUUGUUAAUGUUGCUUUUGCACUAUUGAAUAGAGAGCUGUACUUGAACCUGCAAUGCAAGGACAAGACAUGAUUGGUCGUGCAAGGACGGGUACAGGGAAAACUCUUGCCUUUGGAAUUCCAAUUAUGGAUAAGAUUAUCCGCUUUCAGGCCAAACAUGGGUGAGUUCAUUAUUCAUGACAUGUGGAUUGACUCCUUGAUGAACAUUUUUAUAUGAUUCAUAAUGCAAGAUAGUCUCUAACUGCUAAAUGGUUAUCUGCAGCUGUGGCAGAAACCCUUUGGCCAUGGUACUUGCACCGACCAGAGAGCUUGCUCGACAAGUUGAGAAGGAAUUUAAAGAGUCUUCCAAGUUGUACACUCUUUGUGUUUAUGGAGGCUCUCCGAUUAAUGAACAGAUGAGAGCACUUAAUUAUGGUGUUGAUGUUGUGGUUGGCACUCCUGGACGAAUUAUUGACUUGCUUAAUAGAGGCGCCUUGAAUUUGUCAGAGAUUCAAUUUGUUGUCCUUGAUGAAGCUGAUCAGAUGC